AUGGACAUGAGGGCCCCUGCUCAGCUCUUCGGGCUCCUGCUGCUCUGGUUACCAGGUGCCAGAUGUGACAUUCAGAUGACCCAGUCUCCAUCCUCUCUAUCUGCAUCUCUGAAACACAGAGUCACCAUCACUUGCAAGGCCAGUCAGGGCAUUAGCAAUUAUUUAAGUUGGUUCCAGCAGAAACCAGGGAAAGCUCCUAAGCGCCUGAUCUAUGCUGCAUCCGUCUUGGCAGAUGGGAUCCCAGUGAGGUUCAGUGGCAGAGGGUCUGGGACAGAUUAUUCUCUCAGCAUCAGCAGCCUAGAGUCUGAAGAUAUGGCAACUUAUUACUGUCUGCAGUAUAAUAAGCGUCCUCCCACAGUGAUACAAGUCAUACCAUAA